GAGGGGUGGAGUGUGGAGAGAAAAAGUAGGGGCUAAAAAUGUGCAAUAAGUGGAAUGCCUUUUAUCUCUCAUUUUCUCUGUCUCUCUCUUAGUCCCCGUGUCACUUGUCGUUAAAAUGUAAAAUUUAUCAUCAGACAGCUUUAUCUUCCCAUUCCAGAAAACGCAUGCAUGCCAGUAGAAGAGGAUAAUCCCCUUUUCUAUUAUUCUUUGGGGCUGGCUUAACACCCAAACUUAGUGGAGAAUUGAUGGUUCAGAACUCUACACAUAGAGGUUGGUUCUGAGUGUCAUUGGAAUGGCUUUAAACAGAUGGCCUGACACUGCCCCCAUAUCCUUCAGUCAGCUGGCAUUUUAAUUGUACUAGAAAGUUAUCCCACUUACUGCUUAUGAAUUAAACUAUGCAAUGUCAUGUUAAAGUAUUUUAAAUCUCUCAGAACCUGUAAUG
rnacentral:lncRNA from 1 species